rnacentral:rRNA from 1 species
GAUGAACGCUGGCGGCGUGCCUAAUACAUGCAAGUCGAGCGAAUGGAUUAAGAGCUUGCUCUUAUGAAGUUAGCGGCGGACGGGUGAGUAACACGUGGGUAACCUGCCCAUAAGACUGGGAUAACUCCGGGAAACCGGGGCUAAUACCGGAUAAUAUUUUGAACUGCAUGGUUCAAAAUUGACAGGCGGCUUCGGCUGUCCCUUAUGGAUGGACCCGGGUCACAUUAGCUAGUUGGUGAGGUAACGGCUCACCAAGGCAACGAUGCGUAGCCGACCUGAGAGGGUGAUCGGCCACACUGGGACUGAGACACGGCCCAGACUCCUACGGGAGGCAGCAGUAGGGAAUCUUCCGCAAUGGACGAAAGUCUGACAGAGCAACGCCGCGUGAGUGAUGAAGGCUUUCGGGUCGUAAAACUCUGUUGUUAGGGAAGAACAAGUGCUAGUUGAAUAAGCUGGCACCCUGACGGUACCUAACCAGAAAGCCACGGCUAACUACGUGCCAGCCGCCGCGGUAA